rnacentral:rRNA from 1 species
UACAGAGGGGGCCAGCGUUAUUCGGAUUCAUUGGGCGUAAAGGGUGCGUAGGCGGCGCGGUAAGUCGGGUGUGAAAUCUCGGAGCUUAACUCCGAAACUGCAUUCGAUACUGCCGUGCUUGAGGACUGGAGAGGAGACUGGAAUUUACGGUGUAGCGGUGAAAUGCGUAGAUAUCGUAAGGAAGACCAGUGGCGAAGGCGGGUCUCUGGACAGUUCCUGACGCUGAGGCACGAAGGUCAGGGGAGCAAGCGGG